rnacentral:rRNA from 1 species
GAUGAACGCUAGCGGCAGGCCUAACACAUGCAAGUCGAGGGGUAGAGGAAGCUUGCUUCCUUGAGACCGGCGCACGGGUGCGUAACGCGUAUGCAAUCUACCUCGUACUGAGGGAUAGCCCAGAGAAAUUUGGAUUAAUACCUCAUAGUAUUAUGAAAUCGCAUGGUUUUAUAAUUAAAGUUCCAACGGUACAAGAUGAGCAUGCGUCCCAUUAGUUAGUUGGUAAGGUAACGGCUUACCAAGACAAUGAUGGGUAGGGGUCCUGAGAGGGAGAUCCCCCACACAGGUAAUGAGACACGGACCAGACUCCUACGGGAGGCAGCAGUGAGGAAUAUUGGUCAAUGGACGCAAGUCUGAACCAGCCAUGCCGCGUGCAGGAUGAAGCAUCUAUGGUGUGUAAACUGCUUUUAUACGGGAAGAAACACUCCUACGUGUAGGAACUUGACGGUACCGUAAGAAUAAGGAUCGGCUAACUCCGUGCCAGCAGCCGCGGUAAAAC